rnacentral:lncRNA from 10 species
UGGCAGAGGGCAAGGAGAGGAAGCCGCCCCCGUCUAGGGGGCCCGCCCCAGCCCCACGGGAAGUGGGACGGGGAAAGGCACCCUACAAAGAAAGGACUCCUAGCUCCCAACUGGUUCGAAUCCCACCUCGGCCACUUACUGGGUGUGUGACCUUGGGUAGGGUAACGCCUCUCUGUGAGCCUCUGCUUUUUCCAGAAGAAACGGGAAAAAUCAAAGUGCUGCCUUCUCUGAGUCAAUUAGGCGACCCUCAUUACGGCGACAGUCGGGAAGUAUGGGGUCUGGGCCCGCCCGGGCACACGGAGGGUGCCUGCCGCAGGUGGCCGGUUCCCUCGGGGCUGCCCAAGGCUGGGCGAGGGCCUCUUCGCCCAGCUGGUCGGGAUCAGGACGCGACACGGAAGAGACCCCAGCUCUGCCCUGACCCCGGUCCGGGUCCGCAGGACGCAGCCCACUCGCCCUCAGAACACCGGCUCGCCUGGCACCCGGCGCGGCCCGGGCCCCGCUCGGACUCGAACCUGGUGGGGGCGCGCCCGGCAGAAAGCGGGGUGCUGGGACAGCGGGACCCCCACGCGCGACCCUGGUCUCCCGGGCCAGUCCCCUCCCCAGGUCCGGGCGGCUCACCAGGGCCGACUUGGAUGCUGCGUCCUGCGGGGCAGGAAACCUCCUGUCUCAGGGCCUCACGAGGCUAGAGUCAAAAUGUCAGCUGCCGUGGGCUCUUAUCUGCAGACUCUGGGGAAAGCCCACUUCCAGGCUCAUCCAGGAUGUUAACAGAAUUGUCUCCAUGGGCCUAGGACUGAAGUCCACGUCUUCUUGCUGGAUGUUGGCUGGUGUCAUUCUCACUCCUAGAGGCCACUGCAUUCCUUCCACGAUGGCUUGAACACCUCCAUCAUCAGAGCCAGCAAGCAAGAGCACGCUGAAGACGCUUCGAGAUGCAGCAAGACGCCUGUAAUCCCAGCCCUUUGGGAGACCGAGGCAGGUGGAUCACGAGGUCAGGAGAUCGAGACCAUCCUGGCCAACAUGGUGAAGCCCCGUCUCUACUGAAAUACAAAAAGUUAGCCAGACGUGGUGGCACGUGUCUAUAGUCCCAGCUACUCGGAGGCUGAGGCAGGGGAAUCGCUUGAACCCGGGAGGCGGAAAUUGCAGUGAGCUGAGAUUGCGCCACUGCACUCCAGCCUGGCAACAGAGCGAGACUCCAUCUCAAAAAAAAAGGUGCUGCAAGACGCUUCCAAUCUCUGUGACUUCCCCUUCUGCCAUACCUCUUUACUUUUUCCCCCUCUUUUGGGGAGGGGGGAGGGUUUAAAAUAAAUAUAAAAUUUACCAUCAUAACUGUGAAAGGAAAAUAAAUCUCAGGACUCCAAAAUCACUAAGCCAAAGGGAAAAGUCAAGCUGGGAACUGCGUUGGGCAAACUGCCUCGCCUUUUCUUCUUUAAUAAAAUAGCUACGAAGAUUUAAAAAGCUACAUACCUCCCUCACAAUUUGCCCGCUAGGAAAUUUUUCGUGGGCACCCAAGAUCUUUACCCUAAAACAGUUUUGUUGAAUUUUACCCUAACAAUGUACAUUGACAACUGAUCUUCACAGGUUCCAAACAAAGGAUGGAACUCUAAGUCAUCCCUCUGCUCACCUGAUUGCUUCCUCUGGUAUAAAAGUGCAGAUUCACCGAGCCAGACUAAGGCAUAAGUGACUAUUCCUCUACCCCCGCAACCUGUAAAUUGUGUAUUUCAGUGAAAGUCUGAUCAAAGACUCACAAGAAUGCAACCUUUGUCUCUUAUCUCUCCACAUAUUUUUAAAAUUUCUCCCUCUUUCCCAAUAUCCACCCUUUCCCUUUUUUUUUUUUUUUUUUUUUUUUGAGACAGAGUCUUGCUUCGUUGCCCAGGCUAGAGUGCAGUGGUGCGAUCUCAGGUCACUCAGCAACCUCCGCCACAGCACCUGGCCAGUUUCCCCUUUAAAUAUUGAAGUCCUACAAAUCAUCCUUGAAGGAAGGCAUAGACCUGCCUCCCAGGCACUCCUUAACCUUGGCAAAAUAAACUUACUAAAUAGAUCGAGACCUGUCUCAGAUAUUUUUAGUUCACAUAACUAUAUUGAAGUGUACAGCUCAUUGAUAUUAAAUAUAUUAAUGAUGCUAUACAACUAUCACCUCCAACUCCAGAACUCUUUUUAUCUUGCAAAACUGAAAUUCUGGACCCAUUAAGCACUGACUCCUCAUUCCCUCAGCCCCUGGAAACCACCAUUCUCCUUUCUAUCCCUAAGAUUUUGGCGACUCUAGGUUCCUCAUUUAAGUGGAAUCCUGCAGUAUUUGUUCUUUUGUGACUGGCUUAUGUCAUUUAGCCUAAAAUCCUCAAGGUUCAUCCAUGUAGCAUGUGUCCAAAUUUCCUUCCUUUUUAAAGCUGAAUAAUACUCCACUGUAUGUAUCCAUGACAUUUUGCUUAUCCAGUCAUCCAUGGAUGGGCACUGGGUUGCUUCCACCUUUUGACUAUUGUGAAUAAUG